rnacentral:rRNA from 1 species
AUCGAACGCUGGCGGCAGGCCUCACACAUGCACGUCGAACGAGUGGCGGACGGGUGAGUAAUGUCUGGGAAACUGCCCGAUGGAGGGGGAUAACUACUGGAAACGGUAGCUAAUACCGCCUACCAUCGGAUGUGCCCAGAUGGGAUUGGCUAGUAGGUGGGGUAACGGCUCACCUAGGCGACGAUCCCUAGCUGGUCUGAGAGGAUGACCAGCCACAGUGGGACUGAGACGCGGUCCAGACGCCGACGAGAGGCAGCAGGGGGGAAGAUUGCAAAAUGGGCGCAAGCCUGGUGCAGCCAUGCCGCGUGGUUGAAGAAGGUCGUCGGAUUGUAAAGCACGUUAAGUUGGGAGGCGUUACCAACAGAAUAAGCACGGGCUAACUUCGUGCCAGCAGCCGCGGUAAUAC